GUGAAUUUAGUUUAAAAGAUAAAACUUUUGAUUUGCAUUCAAAAAAUUUAGGUUUAAAACCUAAAAUUCACA
rnacentral:tRNA from 1 species